AGUCCAGGCAACCCUGUUGACAGCAGCACAAACACUCCUUGAAAAAAAAAAAAAAAAAAAAAAAAAAAAAAAAAAAAAAAAAAAG
rnacentral:ribozyme from 13 species